rnacentral:rRNA from 1 species
GCGGCGGACGGGUGAGUAACACGUGGAUAACCUACCUAUAAGACUGGGAUAACUUCGGGAAACCGGAGCUAAUACCGGAUAAUAUUUUGAACCGCAUGGUUCAAAAGUGAAAGACGGUCUUGCUGUCACUUAUAGAUGGAUCCGCGCUGCAUUAGCUAGUUGGUAAGGUAACGGCUUACCAAGGCAACGAUGCAUAGCCGACCUGAGAGGGUGAUCGGCCACACUGGAACUGAGACACGGUCCAGACUCCUACGGGAGGCAGCAGUAGGGAAUCUUCCGCAAUGGGCGAAAGCCUGACGGAGCAACGCCGCGUGAGUGAUGAAGGUCUUCGGAUCGUAAAACUCUGUUAUUAGGGAAGAACAUAUGUGUAAGUAACUGUGCACAUCUUGACGGUACCUAAUCAGAAAGCCACGGCUAACUACGUGCCAGCAGCCGCGGUAAUACGUAGGUGGCAAGCGUUAUCCGGAAUUAUUGGGCGUAAAGCGCGCGUAGGCGGUUUUUUAAGUCUGAUGUGAAAGCCCACGGCUCAACCGUGGAGGGUCAUUGGAAACUGGAAAACUUGAGUGCAGAAGAGGAAAGUGGAAUUCCAUGUGUAGCGGUGAAUGCGCAGAGAUAUGGAGGAACACCAGUGGCGAAGGCGACUUUCUGGUCUGUAACUGACGCUGAUGUGCGAAAGCGUGGGGAUCAAACAGGAUUAGAUACCCUGGUAGUCCACGCCGUAAACGAUGAGUGCUAAGUGUUAGGGGGUUUCCGCCCCCUAGUGCUGCAGCUAACGCAUUAAGCACUCCGCCUGGGGAGUACGACCGCAAGGUUG